AGAGUUUGAUCCUGGCUCAGGACGAACGCUGGCGGCGUGCUUAACACAUGCAAGUCGAGCGGUAAGGCCUUUCGGGGUACACGAGCGGCGAACGGGUGAGUAACACGUGGGUGAUCUGCCCUGCACUCUGGGAUAAGCUUGGGAAACUGGGUCUAAUACCGGAUAUGACUGCAUGCCGCAUGGUGUGUGGUGGAAAGAUUUAUCGGUGCAGGAUGGGCCCGCGGCCUAUCAGCUUGUUGGUGGGGUAAUGGCCUACCAAGGCGACGACGGGUAGCCGACCUGAGAGGGUGACCGGCCACACUGGGACUGAGACACGGCCCAGACUCCUACGGGAGGCAGCAGUGGGGAAUAUUGCACAAUGGGCGGAAGCCUGAUGCAGCGACGCCGCGUGAGGGAUGAAGGCCUUCGGGUUGUAAACCUCUUUCAGCAGGGACGAAGCGUGAGUGACGGUACCUGCAGAAGAAGCACCGGCUAACUACGUGCCAGCAGCCGCGGUAAUACGUAGGGUGCGAGCGUUGUCCGGAAUUACUGGGCGUAAAGAGUUCGUAGGCGGUUUGUCGCGUCGUUUGUGAAAACCCGGGGCUCAACUUCGGGCUUGCAGGCGAUACGGGCAGACUUGAGUGUUUCAGGGGAGACUGGAAUUCCUGGUGUAGCGGUGAAAUGCGCAGAUAUCAGGAGGAACACCGGUGGCGAAGGCGGGUCUCUGGGAAACAACUGACGCUGAGGAACGAAAGCGUGGGUAGCAAACAGGAUUAGAUACCCCGGUAGUCC
rnacentral:rRNA from 1 species